AAUGAACGCUGGCGGCAUGCCUAACACAUGCAAGUCGAACGACAGCACAGUAAGAGCUUGCUCUUACGGGUGGCGAGUGGCGGACGGGUGACGCAUGCAUCGGAUUCCUCUUUGACGGGGGUGAUAACGUAGGACAACUUCUGCUAACACAGCAUACAUCCUACGGGUGUGAGCAGGGGUUCUUUGGACUUUUCGCGAUUGUAUGAGCCGAUGUCGGAUUAGCUAGUUGGCUGGGUAAGGGCCCACCAAGGCGACGAUCCGUAGCUGAUCUGAGAGGAUGAUCGGCCACACUGGAACUGAGACACGGUCCAGACUCCUACGGGAGGCAGCAGUAGGGAAUCUUGCGCAAUGGGCGAAAGCUUGAUACAGCAAUACCGCGUGAGUGAUGAAGGACUUCGGGUUGUAAAGCUCUGUUGUUGGGAAAGAAAAAAAGCGGGUUUAUCCCCGGCUGUAAUGACGGUACCGAAAGAAUAAGCACCGGCUAACUCCGUG
rnacentral:rRNA from 1 species